rnacentral:snoRNA from 1 species
CAAUCAAGGUUGGGGCAUUUUCUGAAAAAAUUCUUGAACCUCUCCCAUGCCUUAGGAUAGCUCUCUAAAUCUUUCUGCUUGAAGGUGUGAACGUCAUUCCUAAUUUG